rnacentral:rRNA from 1 species
CCUACGGGGGGCUGCAGUGGGGAAUAUUGGACAAUGGGGGGAGCCCUGAUCCAGCCAUGCCGCGUGUGUGAAGAAGGCCCUCGGGUUGUAAAGCACUUUCAGUGAGGAAGAACGCCUGGUGGUUAAUACCCAUCAGGAAAGACAUCACUCACAGAAGAAGCACCGGCUAACUCCGUGCCAGCAGCCGCGGUAAUACGGAGGGUGCGAGCGUUAAUCGGAAUUACUGGGCGUAAAGCGCGCGUAGGUGGCUUGAUAAGCCGGUUGUGAAAGCCCCGGGCUCAACCUGGGAACGGCAUCCGGAACUGUCAAGCUAGAGUGCAGGAGAGGAAGGUAGAAUUCCCGGUGUAGCGGUGAAAUGCGUAGAGAUCGGGAGGAAUACCAGUGGCGAAGGCGGCCUUCUGGACUGACACUGACACUGAGGUGCGAAAGCGUGGGUAGCAAACAGGAUUAGAUACCCUGGUAGUC